CCCUUAGAUGUUCUGGGCCGCACGCGUGCUACACUGAGUGGAUCAGCGGGUCAGGUUGCGCGAAAGUGUUUCCUAAUCUUUAAAUCCGCUCGUGAUGGGGAUUGACGGUUGCAAUUUUCCGUCAUGAACGAGGAAUACCUUGUAAGCGCGGGUCAUCAUCCCGCGCUGAAUACGUCCCUGCCCUUUGUACACACCGCCCGUCGCUCCUACCGAUUGAGUGGUCCGGUGAGGCUUUGGGAUCUGAGCGGAAAGAGCGUUUCGCUGUUUCUGCUCGGAAAACUCAGUCGAACCUUAUCAUUUAGAGGAAGGAGAAGUCGUAACA
rnacentral:rRNA from 1 species